CGUUUCAGAAAAAAAAAUUUAAAAAUCCUCUGAAAGAGGAGAAAUGAGAGGCCCUCCGGGCUCUGGCCUCUUUUAGGCCAAGCUCCGGUUAUCGGGCAUACACGCACCCAUGCGCCACCAGCAACUCCGCCAUGUGCGGUGGCCAGAAUUUGAAAAGUCACUACUUUCCGAUGCGAUUAUAACGAUAACCGCGAGGAUCUUGCUCAAUCACUAAUGUCUACGUGCUGAUGGAGCCAACGCCAUAUCGUAGUGCGAGGAGAUUUGAUGAUUCUGGCGUGAUUUGCGCGUCGAUGGUGGCAUGAUGUAUGACGGCAAAUUCGAGGAAUCACGGCAUGCUUGGUUGCGACGAUUGGGCCGUUGAAUCUGUGAGAUGAAAAGUCACAUCGCUUGGAGUGCCCGAAGCUUCCAGAAAUUCUUUGUGGCGCUGAGUUCUCAAGAAACCCUAGGGUUUCCUUGUCUGUUUUUACAAUUUUGGGCCUUUUGGGCCUCGUGUAAACCUGGGUCAAAAGGGGUUUUUGGGGUGUAAAUGAGUCUGAUAAGUUUGGGCCUAUGGGUUAAUGGUUGUAACCGGUCUGCUAGGUCUAGGUUAAAUAGGUCAAUUAAUUUGGGCUUUUGUAAACUGGACUGUAAUGGACCCCUUUUAAAUAAAUAAAUAUUUAUUUAUCCAA